rnacentral:misc_RNA from 1 species
UAGUCACUGCCGGUGGUUGCUGGCUUAGUGGCGUUGACAUUUUAGCCUUGAAGAGUGUAGUCGCAUUUCUAAUGAAAGUGAAGAACUAGCUUAAGAGUAAGUUGUGCGGAAAUUCUGAAACAUUCACCAUGAAAAUGAGGAGGGGAAUAGAGGAAAACUGAAGGAGAACCUUGGAAAGAAAGAAAAGCCAAGGAAUUCUGAGUUCUGUCAAAAUUGAAGAGCAAAGGGGUUUAAAAUUUCUCCAAUGAGAGAGAGAACAAAAGGACUAGAAAGAGAGAAGAAAAUUUUUGUUAGAUUGAGAAGAAAGUACAUUUGCUUGCAUUGAUUGGAGAGAGCAAGGUUCCUCCCAAUGGAAAAUUGGCUUUCCUUAUUUUUUAAUAAUAAUUUCAACAAAGAACCUAAUGACAGUAAAAGGACGAAAGGAAAAGAACCACAAAGCUAGGGAAUCUAAAUGGACUGACGCUUCUGACUUAUGAGCUUUUGCAGGACUCAUCUGCCACUGCAAGAUAGCAGCAGGGAUGCAGGCUAAACAACCUUAACUAUCUUCAAUUUCAAAGCACAAUGUGAA